CCCAUGUAAUGCCGUUCAGAGCAUCAGCUCCACCAUCACUCCCUUGCCAGCUCAAGGACGGCACAAAGUAGGAGAGCUCCAUGAUGCUGGUGGAGCUGAAGCAGCGCAGCAGCAGCACAGAGCGUCACUCCCAGUCUCAGUUUACUCGUGCUGCAGUGGUACGAUAAAGAAUGUCCCAGUAAAUGUCUCCAACAAUCUGAUCCCCACCUGACCCUCUGAUGAUGCAUAUGCAGUGUUUCCCUUCAUUCUUGUGUACAACCUUCUCACGGCUUUCCGGGACAUUAUUCAUGCGUUAUUGUCUAAAAAUUAAUUUAUCUCAUGGCC
rnacentral:lncRNA from 1 species